AAUAAUUUUUAAUGAUUUUAAGUGUCUGUGUGUUAAAAGUAAAAAAAAAAUAUGUUAAAAAUUCAAUAAAAUUGUUAAUAAUAAUAAUGAAAACAAUUUAACUAAAAUUGUGUAGCUCUACUUAACAAAAUACAACAACGCAAGUAUUAGUUGUUGUCUGAUUUCUUUUAAUUUUAAUUGACUCUGGGUCUUCUAGUAGUUAAAAUCAAACUCAAUACAAAUACUGCGUUCAUGGUAGAAAUCAAAUUUUCGCGUUUUAAACACAAAAAAAUUAAAUAUUUUUAAAUAAAAUAGUGAAAAACGUUAACAAAAGUUUAAAAUUA